rnacentral:rRNA from 1 species
AUUGAACUCUGGCGGCAGGCCUAACACAUGCAAGUCGAACGUGUGGCGGACGGGUGAGUAAUGUCUGGGAAAUUGCCUGAUGGUGGUGGAUAACUACUGGAAACGGUAGCUCAUACCGCACACCAUCAGAUGUGCCCAGAUGGGAUUAGCUAGUUGGUGGGGUAACGGCUCACCAAGGCGACGAUCCCUAGCUGGUCUGAGAGGAUGACCAGCACCACUGGAACUGAGACACGGUCCAGACUCCUAGGGGAGGCAGCAGUGGGGAACAUUGCACAAUGGGGGCAAGCCUAAUGCAGUAAAGCCGCGAGUAUGAAGAAGGACGUCGGGUUGUAAAGUAAAUUCAGCGCGGAGGCGAUACCGGCAGAAGAAUCACCGGCUAACUCAGUGACAGCAGCCGCGGUAAUAC